GACGUAGGUGGCGAACGUUAUCCGGAAUUACUGGGCGUAAAGGGUGCGUAGGUGGUUUCUUAAGUCAGAGGUGAAAGGCUACGGCUCAACCGUAGUAAGCCUUUGAAACUGGGAAACUUGAGUGCAGGAGAGGAGAGUGGAAUUCCUAGUGUAGCGGUGAAAUGCGUAGAUAUUAGGAGGAACACCAGUUGCGAAGGCGGCUCUCUGGACUGUAACUGACACUGAGGCACGAAAGCGUGGGGAGCAAACAGG
rnacentral:rRNA from 1 species